GACGAACGCNGGCGGCGUGCCUAAUACAUGCAAGUAGAACGCACAGUUUAUACCGUAGCUUGCUACACCAUAAACUGUGAGUUGCGAACGGGUGAGUAACGCGUAGGUAACCUGCCUGGUAGCGGGGGAUAACUAUUGGAAACGAUAGCUAAUACCGCAUAAUAUUGAUUAUUGCAUGAUAAUUGAUUGAAAGAUGCAACUGCAUCACUACCAGAUGGACCUGCGUUGUAUUAGCUAGUAGGUGAGGUAACGGCUCACCUAGGCAACGAUACAUAGCCGACCUGAGAGGGUGAUCGGCCACACUGGGACUGAGACACGGCCCAGACUCCUACGGGAGGCAGCAGUAGGGAAUCUUCGGCAAUGGACGAAAGUCUGACCGAGCAACGUCGCGUGAGUGAAGAAGGUUUUCGGAUCGUAAAGCUCUGUUGUAAGAGAAGAACGGGUGUGAGAGNGGAAAGUUCACAC
rnacentral:rRNA from 1 species